rnacentral:rRNA from 1 species
AGUAACAACCAUUUGAGUCUGGGAUUUCUGAAUGGGGAAACCCACUUACAUAAGUAAGUAUCGUUAUGUGAAUACAUAGCAUAACGAGGCGAACCGGGGGAACUGAAACAUCUAAGUACCCCGAGGAAAAGAAAUCAACCGAGAUUCCGAAAGUAGCGGCGAGCGAAAUUGGACUAGCCCUUAAGCUUUACACGCGUUAGACGAACGGUCUGGAAAGUCCGACGAUACAGGGUGAUAGUCCCGUAGUUGACGACGUGUGUUCAGUGAAAUCGAGUAGGGCGGGACACGUGAUAUCCUGUCUGAAUAUGGGGGGACCAUCCUCCAAGGCUAAAUACUACUGACUGACCGAUAGUGAACCAGUACCGUGAGGGAAAGGCGAAAAGAACCCCUGUGAGGGGAGUGAACCAUCUAGGGGAGCCGUAGGGAAACCGAGUCUUAACUGGGCGUUCAGUCUCUGGAUAUAGACCCGAAACCAGGUGAUCUAGCCAUGGGCAGGUUGAAGGUUGAGUAACAUCAACUGGAGGACCGAACCGACUAAUGUUGAAAAAUUAGCGGAUGACUUGUGGCUAGGGGUGAAAGGCCAAUCAAACCUGGAGAUAGCUGGUUCUCCCCGAAAGCUAUUUAGGUAGCGCCUCGGACGAAUACUACUGGGGGU